UAUAUCCACUUAUAUCAAGCCUUUCUUCAAGAAACAAAUAUAUAUCAAGUUUUUCUCUUCAAUCUCCCAACGCAAGCAUUGAUCAGCAGGACGAGAGCAAUUUCUUGAAGCAACAAACAGCGUCAGAAAAAUUACUGAUCUGUGGAGACCAACUCUUCAAGAGUUUUCAUGAAAAUCUCAGUAAUAUUCAUCUUACAAAUAUUUGGAAUUUUGUUCCUCAGCAACCUCCUCGUUUCUUAUGCACUGAGGCAUUAUACUUUUGAGGUCAAAGAAGCAUCAUACACAACACUUUGUAGAUCCAAGAUCAUAUUGACAGUAAAUGGACAAUUUCCGGGACCAACCUUGUACGUGACCAAAGGCGAAACAAUAAUUGUUGAUGUCUAUAACCGAGCGAACGAGAGCAUCACCAUCCACUGAUACGUUGAUCAAAAAUAAACCAACGAAUCCCACAUUUUUAAUUUAAUUCUCUAUCAAUUAACGUAAAGCUAAGCUUCAAGUAAUUUGUUUAAAAGUUGAUUUUAAAAUUUAAUUUAUCAAUAUAUCACAGGCAUGGAGUGAACCAACCAAGAUAUCCAUGAUCAGACGGUCCCGAAUUUAUCACUCAAUGUCCCAUAAAACCAGGUCAUAAGUUUAGUCAGAGGGUCAUAUUCUCUGAAGAGGAAGGCACUCUUUGGCGGCAUGCUCACAGUGACUAUUCUCGAGCCACAGUUCAUGGCGCUGUUGUCAUCAAACCUAGGCCAGGAACUACCUAUCCAAUCUCAAAACCGCAUGCAGAAUUUCCCAUUAUAUUAGGUAUUUAUUUGAGAACUAGAUUUAAAAUUCAUCUAUUCGCUCUCAAUUUUUUGAAGACAUACAUAUGAUGUUAAUUAUAUAUGUGACUAGUGGUAAUGGUUUAGUAGGAGGAGUAGGAAGCACAGGUAUAGAUAAUGGCUUUGGUAGACUACUCGAUGCACUGGUGCUUAGAGUAGGAAUCAAAUUGGGUUUGUUGCUUGUACUUCCCUUAGUUGACCAUGGUGGUACUCCUUGCAUACUAUUGCUCAUCUUUCCCUUGCUUCCCUACGGCUGUUGCUCAGUUUUAUUAUGGAAUAGCUUGGUGUAACUCACCUCCUUCGGAAGGGUCUCAGGGGACCUUGCUAUCACUUCCCAACGUAACUCAGGUUUUAACCCACCCACAUAAUAGUCAAGCAAAGCAUCAUCGGAUAUGCCCUCAGUACGAUUGGCCAGAGUCAUGAAUUAUUGAUGAUAAACAUCUAGAGAUGCUUCUUAAGUCUGCCUAAACAACCGGACCUGAGGCGGUUCAAAUUGAGUAGGGCCAAAAUGCUCUCCAAUGGCUCUAGUUAAACUCCUCUAAGUGAUGAUGAGAUUGGUUUUGAGCAUCAUCUGUAGCCAUAGAACAGCUACCCCAUCCAUGUGUACGGAAGCCAUGAUGAUACGUUGAGAUAGCGUCGUAGGAUAGAAUGCGAAAUAUUGCUUAGCAUGAAAAAUCCACCCAUGUGGGUCAGUACUAUCGAAUCUCAGGAAGUCAAUUUUUACCUAACACUGCGAGUUCUGGUUGAGCGUGCCGCCACUGUCAUAACCCCCAGGUUGAAACACCUUAGUCGACUCACUCUCUCGAUACAUCUUCUCAACCAUGCGGAGUAAAGAAUCAACUCUUAAUUCAAAUUUGUCAACCCGAACAUUUGAUUUGCUAACCAGAACAUCUAACACGGUCUCCAUCUUUGUCAAUCUGGGAUCUGGAUUCCUUAUGAAAUCCCUAAUGCAGUCUCUAGACGUUCUAUCCAAGAAUUGCUAGCAUCUUCGAACUUGUCGGCAAAUUCUCUAACGCUCUGCAAAUCAUCUUGAAGUGUCCUCCCAUCGUUGGUGAAUUCCUUCAAACGUGCGUUUUCAUUCAUGUUCAAGUCUAAAUGAAAGUGCCUUUUGAUGCGUUUUAAAAAAAUAGUUUUAAAAGAAUGUACUUGAUACGUUUUAAAAAAAUAGUUUACAUUGAAAAUUAAUAAAUUAAAUUUAUGUUUGAUGGCAAAAAUGUACAAAAUAAUUUGAAAAAUGAGAAUUUUUAUUUUCCCAACUGAA